rnacentral:rRNA from 1 species
UACAGAGGUCUCAAGCGUUGUUCGGAUUCAUUGGGCGUAAAGGGUGUGUAGGUGGCGCGCUAAGUCGGGUGUGAAAUUUCGGAGCUUAACUCCGAAACUGCAUUCGAUACUGGCGUGCUUGAGGACUGGAGAGGAGACUGGAAUUUACGGUGUAGCAGUGAAAUGCGUAGAGAUCGUAAGGAAGACCAGUGGCGAAGGCGAGUUCCUGGACAGUUACUGACGCUGAGGCACGAAGGCCAGGGGGAGCAAACGGG